UACAAAUUAAUAAAACAAGCAAGUGUUAUUCAACAUCAUCAUAAGUUUGUAAACCUAUAUAUUAGUUUAUAAUUUUUUUAGUUUUAUUAAACACAAGUAGAUUUUUUUUAUCGUUUAAAUACUAUAUCUAUUUGAUCUCAGUACUUUAAAUAUGAGAGUGACAAGCAUAAUAUUAUUUUGUGUAUUUUCCGCUAUUGCUAGUCUAUCAUUCACUCAAAAUCCUGUUUUAGUUAAAGGCGAUCAACAGGAAAAUGAAGACCAUAAACCGCUCUAAUAAAGGGUCCUAAUUAAUACAAUAAAAUAAAAAAUGUACGAUUAUUUAUGUCAUAUUAAUUACAACUUAAAAGUAAAGUAAUAUACUUAAAUGUAAUAAUAAAUAAAUAUACAUAAUGUGUAUUA